rnacentral:ncRNA from 1 species
CAACUCUGGAAAGUCGGGGCUAGCCCCGCGCCGAAGGUGUAAGCGCUGCCGACAGAGUUACGGAGCGCAAGUCUCUCAGGCUUCAGACAGAGGGGCACGA